GCGAUAGCUCAGUGGUAGAGCAGAACGCUGUUAACGUUCGGGUCGCGGGUUCGAAUCCCGUUACGCA
rnacentral:tRNA from 1 species